AUUCCGGGGAAUUUCCCUGGAAAUUCCGGGGAAUUUCCCUGGAAAUUCCGGGGAAUUUCCCUGGAAAUUCCGGGGAAUUUCCCUGGAAAUUCCGGGGAAUUUCCCUGGAAAUUCCGGGGAAUUUCCCUGGAAAUUCCGGGGAAUUUCCCUGGAAAUUCCGGGGAAUUUCCCUGGAAAUUCCGGGGAAUUUCCCUGGAAAUUCCGGGGAAUUUCCCUGGAAAUUCCGGGGAAUUUCCCUGGAAAUUCCGGGGAAUUUCCCUGGAAAUUCCGGGGAAUUUCCCUGGAAAUUCCGGGGAAUUUCCCUGGAAAUUCCGGGGAAUUUCCCUGGAAAUUCCGGGGAAUUUCCCUGGAAAUUCCGGGGAAUUUCCCUGGAAAUUCCGGGGAAUUUCCCUGGAAAUUCCGGGGAAUUUCCCUGGAAAUUCCGGGGAAUUUCCCUGGAAAUUCCGGGGAAUUUCCCUGGAAAUUCCGGGGAAUUUCCCUGGAAAUUCCGGGGAAUUUCCCUGGAAAUUCCGGGGAAUUUCCCUGGAAAUUCCGGGGAAUUUCCCUGGAAAUUCCGGGGAAUUUCCCUGGAAAUUCCGGGGAAUUUCCCUGGAAAUUCCGGGGAAUUUCCCUGGAAAUUCCGGGGAAUUUCCCU
rfam:Aedes albopictus isolate Foshan contig97664, whole genome shotgun sequence.